rnacentral:rRNA from 1 species
CCCCUAGAUGUUCUGGGCCGCGCGCGCGCUACACUGAACAGUUCAACAAGUCUUAACCUUGGCCGAUAGGUCUGGGUAAUCUUUGAACGCUGUUCGUGAUUGGGAUAGACCUUUGCAAUUAUGGGUCUUCAACGAGGAAUUCCUAGUAAACGCAAGUCAUCAGCUUGCAUUGAUUACGUCCCUGCCCUUUGUACACACCGCCCGUCGCACCUACCGAUUGAAUGGUCCGGUGAAAUCUCGGGACGGCGGCUUGGUCGCUUGCGUCCGACUGCUGAAACUUGAUUAAACCAUAUCAUUUAGAGGAAGGUGAAGUCGUANCA